UACAGAGGGUGCAAGCGUUAAUCGGAGUUACUGGGCGUAAAGGGCGCGUAGGUGGAUAUUUAAGUUGGAUGUGAAAUCCCUGGGCUUAACCUAGGAAUGGCAUACAAAACUGGAUAUCUGGAGUACUGUAGAGGGUAGUGGAAUUUCCGGUGUAGCGGUGAAAUGCGUAGAGAUCGGAAGGAACACCAGUGGCGAAGGCGGCUAACUGGUCCAGCACUGACGCUGAGGUGCGAAAGCGUGGGGAGCAAACAGG
rnacentral:rRNA from 1 species